GAUAAACGCUGGCGGCGUGCCUAACACAUGCAAGUCGAACGAUCCCGCAAGGGAGAGUGGCGGAAGGGUGAGUAACACGUGGGAAUCUACCUCCUCGCAGGGGAACAACCUCUCGAAAGAGAGGCUAAUACCCAAAGGGUCAGAAAUGAUCAGAGUCGAAAGGCGUGAGGAGAGGAGCCCGCGGCCCAUCAGCUAGUUGGUGAGGUAAUGGCUUACCAAGGCUACGACGGGUAGGGGAUCUGAGAGGAUGUCCCCCACACUGGAACUGAAACACGGUCCAGACGCCUACGGGUGGCAGCAGUGAGGAAUAUUGGACAAUGGGCGAAAGCCCGAUCCAGCAACGCCGCGUGGAGGAUGAAGGCCUUCGGGUCGUAAACUUCUUUAGAGGGAGACGAGAAAGGACGGUAUCCCUAGAAUAAGCGACGGCAAACUACGUGCCAGCAGCCGCGGUAAU
rnacentral:rRNA from 1 species